rnacentral:rRNA from 1 species
UACGAAGGGGGCUAGCGUUGCUCGGAAUCACUGGGCGUAAAGCGCACGUAGGCGGGUUGUUAAGUCAGGGGUGAAAUCCUGGAGCUCAACUCCAGAACUGCCUUUGAUACAGGCAACCUAGAGACUGGAAGAGGUUAGUGGAAUUCCCGGUGUAGCGGUGAAAUGCGUAGAGAUCGGGAGGAACACCAGUGGCGAAGGCGGCUACCUGGACCAGCACUGACACUGAGGCACGAAAGCGUGGGGAGCAAACAGG